UCCAUGUUUGCGUCAAUUUACAACCCAAUAACCUCACCUCAUCUCUUAUCUUUCUUCAAAUUGGAAUAAAAAAACACAGAUUCAGUUUCGGCUCUAUAUCCUCCUCUCGCUUCUUCUUCUUCUUCUUCUACAUUCUCUUUCAUCUUCAAUAAAAGAUAUCUCCACACCCUUUCAUCAAACUUAAAUUCACCGGGACUUUCAGUGCACGAUAUUCAAUCCAAUGGUGCAGAUACCAGUUGUUGGACUUCAGUGAUUCUGAUUGAAUCUGUUGGACCUGAUUUAUUGUGUUACUGGUGACAGUUACUGUUUCCAUUCCUUUUCUGAUAAAACAUAAAAGGUUGAUAAAAUUGGAAAUUUUGAAGCUUUCUAUCGCAAGUCUUUCCGUAUCCAAAAGCUGCAGGAGAAAUGGGACUUCAGGUGUUCAGCAUUGGUGCUUUAAAACCUUUGCUUUGGUUUGUGAUCUAUUGUUCAAAAGUAUCAUCUUAUUAAUUGAGUUGAUGACACACUGGUAGAGCAGCUUGUGAAAUCUGAUAAAACUUGUUAAGAGAGGUGAGUCCCUAGUUCAUUGGUGUUGCUUGUGUUGGUGUGAUGGGGAAUUGGUAGACCAACUUUUACUUCAUUGUAAGUUUUCUCAUGCUUUAUGGAAUGAAGUUUUUUAGGUAUUUGGGGUCCAAUGGAUUUUGCCGAAGACUGUUUUCUCUCUUCUUUUUGCAUGGAGGAAUUGGUUUGGGAAGCAACUGCCAAAAAUAUCUGGAAUAUAGUUCCAGCUUGUCUUGAGUUGCUUUUCUUGGUGGCUUUACCUCAUAUAUCCCUUUUUUUUUCUUUGUUGGAUUUUGAUGUCUGAGACUCUAUGAUUUCUGCUACUGGGAGGUUAUCAGUAAAAUUCCAGUGUUCUUCCAGCACUUUGUUGCCGUCUCAUACAAUUGUUGACAUAUCUGGAACAGAGUGCAGAUAGAAAAUGCAGAGAAGAAAGUGCAAAGCUACUAGACUGUCUAAUACGGAAAUGCACUUGUGGCUAGGCUUCUUGAGGGCGCCGGGGUCAAUGUGAAUAAUUGCAUUAUAUGCGGAGUUCUUGCAACUGUUGGGGAUCUUACUAGAGUGGGUGGUUAUUUAACGAGACAAUACAUUCCUGAACAUAUGCCUUUAAUUGUUGAAGCUUUAUUGGAUGGAGCAGCUAUCACAAAACGUGAAGUGGCUGUUGUUACUCUUGGUCAAGUUGUGCAGAGCACUGGGCAUGUGACACUUUUCUUAAGGGCUUUGGGUGUGUCUACAUAUCGCAGAUUCAUGCAAAUAGCAUAUGAGGGCUUCGGAUGUGUCUAAGUAGCACAGAGGGCACUUGGGUGCAGGUUUGUGCCUUGGUGUCAUUAAUGUCUGACUGUGAAAUCCUAUGCAAGACACUGUUUAAGACGUGUCUUUGAAGCAAAAUCCUAUGCAAUCUGUUGAAGACAUGCUUUCAUUGAUAUUGAUAUUUCUUUGUGAUAUAGAAAUAAGUCAAGUUCUGAUUUUAAAUAGUGAGGGGCUCUCGUAUUGUCAAGUUCUGAUUAUUCCCUAUCCUCAACUAAUAGCAAUUUGUUCCCAUGGAAGAUGGUGUGGCACUCAAAGGUCCCAUCUAGGGUAGCUUUCUUCUCUUGGACUUCUGCUCUAGGGAAGAUCUUAUCUAUAGAUAAUCUCCGGAAUAGAGGUAUGUUGAUCUUGGAUUGGUGCUGCAUAUGCAAAAAAUGUGGGGAGACUGUGGAUCACCUGCUCCUUCAUUGUCCUAUAGCUUUGGAGUGGUGGACUAUGGUGUUUUGUUUAUUUGUCCUCCACUGGGCUGUAUCAAUGAAAGUCAUUGAUAUGUUUGCUGCUUGGCAAGGGUCUUUUGGCAAGCAUAGAAAAUUUUCUUUUUGGCUGGCUGUCCCACAUUGCAUUAUGUGAUGUCUUUAGCAAGAGCGGAAUUCCAAAAGUUUCGAGGGAUGUGAACAGAAUAUCUUAGAAAUUAGCCUUUUUUCUCCAUAGUUUGUUGGAUUAGAGUGCUGCUUUCUAUCUCCACCUUGUUUUUCUCUCUUAUAUUUGUUUGAUCAUUGUACUUUGAAUUGAUUGUACUUCUCUCUUAGUACACUGCUAGUGUACUAGGUUUGUUUUAUAUCCAAUAAAAAAUUUUCAUUACUUAUCAAAAAAAAAAUAGUGAGGGGCUCUCAUGGGCAAGUCUUUGGAAGUGUAAUGGGAAUGGGUCACACCAUGUAAAAUCAUUUAGUGCUUCUCUUUUUUUGUGCAUGCACUUUGUACUCAUUAUCUCACCCUUCAUUCUGAACUUUCAGGGGAGGUGAUGCUAUUUGAGUUGGUGCUGAUUGGCUAUUUUGUGCUUAAGGUUGCAGGUAUGUUAUAAUUCCAUAAAAUGAGUAUCCGCAGCUAUUUGAAUGGUGAGUUAGCAUGGUCUACCAGACAGGAAGCACUGAAGGGAUCUACUUACGACUUAGACUUCUGAGUUGUAUCCCGUACAACAUUUUUUUUGUACAAAGGUUGUUCUUGUUUAGAUCCUUGGAAUUAUGGGUGCUCUGGAUCCUCAUGUGCAUAAAAAAAAUCAGCCAAGUUUGCUGGGGUGGCAUGGAGAUGUAGCCUGUGCUACCAGUGAUUCAGGUCAUGUUCAGUCCUUGGAUGAUCUGCCUAUGGAUCUGUGGCCAUCUCUUGCAACACCUGAAGAUUAUUAACCCACGGAUCCUUUUCUUGCUAGUUACCACCUUAAGGUGCUUGGAUCACUUAUGUUCACAUUUAAGCUCUGGAGGUAAAAGCUUGACUUCCAAAAUGCCAAGGGAUAGAAGAAGGCUUUCCUUGUGUGCAAAUUUUAGUGGCCUAAGCAUGGAACAAGGUAUACCAGAAGAAAAGUUGGGAUCAGUCAAAAAUGUGAAAGAAUGUGAAGAAGCUCGAUGCCCAAUCUGCAUGGAGCACCCUCAUAAUGCUAUUCUCUUCAAGUGUACCUCCCAUGGGAAGGGCUGCCGGCCUUACAUUUGCAACACCAACUACUAGCACGCCAGUUCCGUAAUUCAUUUAUUCCACAUUCCUCAAGGGCACUAGACCCUUGUGAAAUCUCGUUGCAAACAAAGGUAGUCUCUCCUCUUUGUUGGGGAGAGAUUUAUGGAUACUUUAUAGUAGAGCCUGCUAUUAAAUUCAUGAAUUCCAAAGUAAGGAGUUGUUGA